UACGUAGGGUGCAAGCGUUAAUCGGAAUUACUGGGCGUAAAGCGUGCGCAGGCGGUGAUGUAAGACAGGUGUGAAAUCCCCAGGCUCAACCUGGGAAUUGCAUUCGAGACUGCAUUGCUGGAGUACGGAAGAGGAAGGCGGAAUUCCCGGUGUAGCGGUGAAAUGCGUAGAUAUCGGGAGGAACAUCAGUGGCGAAGGCGGCCUUCUGGUCCAGUACUGACACUCAAGUGCGAAAGCGUGGGGAGCAAACAGG
rnacentral:rRNA from 1 species